AUUGAACGCUGGCGGCAGGCCUAACACAUGCAAGUCGAGCGAGCGGCGGACGGGUGAGUAAUGUAUGGGGACUGCCCGAUAGAGGGGGAUAACUACGGGAAACGGUAGCUAAUACCGCAUACUAUCGGAUAACCCAUAUGGGAUUAGCUAGUUGGUGAGGUCAUGGCUCACCUAGUCGACGAUCCCUAGCUGGUCUGAGAGGAUGAUCGGCCACACUUGGACUGAGACACGGCCCAGACUCCUACGGAGGCAGCAGUAGGGAAUAUUGCACAAUGGGCGCAAGCCUGAUCGAGCCAUGCCGCGUGAAUGAAGAAGGCCCUCGGGUUGUAAAGUACUGUCAGUAGAGAAGCGUUAUCGAAAGAGGAAGCACCGGCUAACUCCGUGCCAGCAGCCGCGGUAAUAC
rnacentral:rRNA from 1 species